GAUGAACGCUGGCGGCGUGCCUAAUACAUGCAAGUCGAGCGAACGGACGAGAAGCUUGCUUCUCUGAUGUCAGCGGCGGACGGGUGAGUAACACGUGGAUAACCUACCUAUAAGACUGGGAUAACUUCGGGAAACCGUAGCUAAUACCGGAUAAUAUUUUGAACCGCAUGGUUCAAAAGUGAAAGACGGUCUUGCUGUCACUUAUGGAUGGAUCCGCGCUGCAUUAGCUAGUUGGUAAGGUAACGGCUUACCAAGGCAACGAUGCAUAGCCGACCUGAGAGGGUGAUCGGCCACACUGGAACUGAGACACGGUCCAGACUCCUACGGGAGGCAGCAGUAGGGAAUCUUCCGCAAUGGGCGAAAGCCUGACGGAGCAACGCCGCGUGAGUGAUGAAGGUCUUCGGAUCGUAAAACUCUGUUAUUAGGGAAGAACAUAUGUGUAAGUAACUGUGCACAUCUUGACGGUACCUAAUCAGAAAGCCACGGCUAACUACGUG
rnacentral:rRNA from 1 species